GCAUGCAGUGGGAAUCUUGGACAAUGGGGGAAACCCUGAUCCAGCCAUGCCGCGUGAGUGAAGAAGGCCCUAGGGUUGUAAAGCUCUUUCAGCGGGGAAGAUAAUGACGGUACCCNGC
rnacentral:rRNA from 1 species